rnacentral:rRNA from 1 species
AUGGGGAACGGGCAGACUGCCCUGCUCUGGGAGGACCGAUGGAUACGUGGCCAAUCCGUGCGCGAGCUCAUGCCCAACCUCUACGGCUGCAUCCCCAAGCGACGACGGAAGACGAGAACCGUGGUGGACGGACUCAAUGGCAACUCCUGGGCACGCGACAUCCAAGGCAACCUCGGCCUCCACGAGAUUGGUCAGUAUCUGCAGCUCUGGCAGAUCAUGCAGCGCACUGAGCUCUCCACCACACCGGACAGGUUGAUCUGGAGAUGGACGGCGAGUGGCAUCUACUCCGCGCAGUCCUGCUACACGGCCACCUUCCAUGGAUCAACGAGCUGUCAUUCCUGGAAGCUAAUCUGGAAGUGUUGGGCGCCGCCGCGGGUCAAGUUCUUCCACUGGUUAGCCAACCAGGACCGCUGCUGGACGGCAGAGAGGCUGGCGCGCCACGGUCUCCAGCAUCAUCCCCGCUGCCUCCUAUGUGACCAGCAACCGGAGACGAUGCGACAUCUGCUGCUGGAAUGCCCCCUAGCCCGACAGGCAUGGCACGAGACCCUGGCCUGGCUACGCAUACCGGCCCCGAUCCCAACACAAGAACUGUCGCUUACGGAUUGGUGGAACCACGCCAAGGAAGACACGCCGCCGAUCCUUCGCAAGGCCCUGAAAUCUGUCGCGCUGCUCGUGCCUUGGAUGGUCUGGAAACACAGGAACAGCUGCGUCUUCGACAAUACGACUCCAUCCCUUAACAUGCUCUUAGAUAGCAUUCAGGACGAGGCCCGCGCAUGGGCGGCAGCUGGGGCACCUGGUCUCCGACUUGUGCUGCCCCAAACCUGGGAUGUGCAUUAA